rnacentral:rRNA from 1 species
CAGUCGCCACGGUAAUACGAAGGGUGCAAGCGUUACUCGGAAUUACUGGGCGUAAGGCGUGCGUAGGUGGUGGUUUAAGUCCGUUGUGAAAGCCCUGGGCUCAACCUGGGAAUUGCAGUGGAUACUGGAUCACUAGAGUGUGGUAGAGGAUAGUGGAAUUUCCGGUGUAGCAGUGAAAUGCGUAGAGAUCGGAAGGAACAUCUGUGGCGAAGGCGACUAUCUGGGCCAACACUGACACUGAGGCACGAAAGCGUGGGGAGCAAACAGGAUUAGAUACCCGAGUAGUCCCUGUCUCUUAUAC